AUCAUACCAAUUUGUAAGUCGCUCUGGAUAAGAGUGUCUGCUAAAUUACGUAAA
rfam:Salmo salar isolate Sally breed double haploid chromosome ssa02, whole genome shotgun sequence.